GGCUGAUUACUUUACAUCACAACAAGAAAUACAAAUAUUUCAUAACCCAAAUUCUCAUGGACGCAAGAACACAGAAGAAUAGUUGUUCUCAGGAUGCAGACACACACGAACAAAGAAAACAAAAAAAUGCACAAUUAAGCCCCAUGGGCGGUGAUGCAUGAACCGCCCGCCAUGGCUAGAUUUCGUCCUUGAUUAAAUAAAAGACAUGCUUGAUCCCACUGACGUUUGCUCAAAACUUCUUCCAUACCCGAACAGUGGCGAUUAAUACUUCGGAAAUUCAGAUACAUGUUUGGGAGGGAACUUCCUUUCUUCCAGCCACGGACCUUUGAUAGUUGUGAACACCCGCCGAGUAGAGAAGUUGUAUUUAGAGUGGAUGUAUGGAAAAAUGUGUGUAGCGGCAGUGGACAAAUAGAUGCGUGCGUUCCUUGGGUUCGCUGUUCCAGAGUAGACAUAAGCCAUCAGAGGGUCAGCCAUCCCUGAUCCACCAAGUUAUCAGCCAUCAACCAUCUUCAGUGCAAGAAUAUGAAGAAUCUUAUCCAACCAUCCAUCAAUGCAUGAUGCAUCCCUUAAUUAUAUUCACCACCGAGUUAGAAGGCACACAUCCAUUAAUUAUAGGGUUGAACGGGUUCCAACCAAUAUCCGUGGCAUGCAUCACCAAGUUUGGAGAAAUAUCUUACCUUGUCGAUUUAGGAGGCAGAAGGCAGUGCUGGCUACAUAUAAUCCAUAUCGAGAACAUCCGGGGCAACAAUGAUGAAGGAUGUGGCGGCAGAUCGCAAGGUGCAGCCGCUCAGGCUAAUAACAUGACGGUAAUGCAGGACCUCCAAAACUCUAGACCCCAGAUAAGCCAUGACAUCCAAAACCAAGACCAUGGGCUACUUUUUAUAACAUGGACUAUGGGCUACUUGACAACACAUAGCACACAAAGUUCAUGCGAAGUACUUUUCGUGGGAAUAAGGUGGAGAUGGUGAUGUAUAGAUCUAAUUUUUUAGGAAACUGUAAGGCUCUGUUUUUUUAGAAACA
rnacentral:lncRNA from 1 species